rnacentral:rRNA from 1 species
AGUGAACGCUGGCGGUAGGCCUAACACAUGCAAGUCGAACGGCAGCACAGGAGAGCUUGCUCUCUGGGUGGCGAGUGGCGGACGGGUGAGGAAUACAUCGGAAUCUACUCUGUCGUGGGGGAUAACGUAGGGAAACUUACGCUAAUACCGCAUACGACCUACGGGUGAAAGCAGGGGAUCUUCGGACCUUGCGCGAUUGAAUGAGCCGAUGUCGGAUUAGCUAGUUGGCGGGGUAAAGGCCCACCAAGGCGACGAUCCCUAGCUGGCCUGAGAGGAUGAUCAGCCACACUGGAACUGAGACACGGUCCAGACUCCUACGGGAGGCAGCAGUGGGGAAUAUUGGACAAUGGGCGCAAGCCUGAUCCAGCCAUACCGCGUGGGUGAAGAAGGCCUUCGGGUUGUAAAGCCCUUUUGUUGGGAAAGAAAUCCAGCUGGCUAAUACCCGGUUGGGAUGACGGUACCCAAAGAAUAAGCACCGGCUAACUUCGUGCCAGCAGCCGCAGUAA